rnacentral:rRNA from 1 species
AGUGAACGCUGGCGGUAGGCCUAACACAUGCAAGUCGAACGGCAGCACAGUAAGAGCUUGCUCUUACGGGUGGCGAGUGGCGGACGGGUGAGGAAUACAUCGGAAUCUACUUUUUCGUGGGGGAUAACGUAGGGAAACUUACGCUAAUACCGCAUACGACCUACGGGUGAAAGCAGGGGAUCUUCGGACCUUUCGCGAUUGAUUGAGCCGAUGUCGGAUUAGCUAGUUGGCGGGGUAAAGGCCCACCAAGGCGACGAUCCGUAGCUGGUCUGAGAGGAUGAUCAGCCACACUGGAACUGAGACACGGUCCAGACUCCUACGGGAGGCAGCAGUGGGGAAUAUUGGACAAUGGGCGCAAGCCUGAUCCAGCCAUACCGCGUGGGUGAAGAAGGCCUUCGGGUUGUAAAGCCCUUUUGUUGGGAAAGAAAAGCAGCAGGUUAAUACCCCGCUGUUCUGACGGUACCCAAAGAAUAAGCACCGGCUAACUUCGUG